rnacentral:lncRNA from 1 species
CCUGGCCGUGUGGGGCCUGGGCAUGGCCUACCGUAAGAAUGCAGACCGCGAUGAGGACAAGGCCAAGGCCUACGAGCUGGAGCAAACGUGGUGAAGCUGAUGCGAGGUCUUCUCCAGUGCAUGAUGAGACAGUGGCCAAAGUGGAGAAGUUCAAACACACUCAGAGCACCAAGGACAGCCUGCACGCCAAGUACAACACCGCCACCUGUGGCACGGUGGUGGGCGACGACCAGUGGGGCCACCUCCAGGUGGAUGCCACCUCUCUCUUCCUCCUGUUCCUGGCCCAGAUGACCGCCUCAGCUUACGUAUCAUUUUCACUCUCGAUGAGGUGGCCUUCAUACAGAAUCUUGUCUUUUACAUAGAAGCUGCAUAUAAAGUCGCGAUUAUGGAAUGUGGGAGCGUGGAGAUAAGACUAAUCAGGGCAUCCCGGAAUUGAAUGCAAGCUCCGUAGGAAUGGCCAAUCUAUUCUGUUCUCCAUGCUGCCAAGAGCGUCGACAUCUAAAGAAAUUGAUGCUGGACUUCUUUCCAUUAUUUCCUUCCCGGCCUUUGCAGUGGAAGAUGUAAACCUUGUAAAUGUGAC